rnacentral:rRNA from 3 species
UACGAAGGGGGCUAGCGUUGUUCGGAUUUACUGGGCGUAAAGCGCACGUAGGCGGAUCGUUAAGUCGGGGGUGAAAUCCUGGAGCUCAACUCCAGAACUGCCUUCGAUACUGGCGAUCUUGAGUCCGGAAGAGGUGAGUGGAACUCCUAGUGUAGAGGUGGAAUUCGUAGAUAUUAGGAAGAACACCAGUGGCGAAGGCGGCUCACUGGUCCGGUACUGACGCUGAGGUGCGAAAGCGUGGGGAGCAAACAGG